UGACCUGAGAUCGGGUAGGGAUACCCGCUGAACUUAAGCAUAUCAAUAAGCGGAGGAAAAGAAACCAACAGGGAUUGCCUCAGUAACGGCGAGUGAAGCGGCAAUAGCUCAGAUUUGAAAGCUGGUGCAUUAGUGCAUCCGCAUUGUAAUCUGUAGAGGUGUGUUCGGGUGUGGCCUUGGUCGAAGUUCCUUGUGAACAGGACAUCAUGGAGGGUGAGAAUCC
rnacentral:rRNA from 1 species